UCGGAGCCAUGACGACAGUGUACUGGAGCACCAUCAUCAACAUCUGCCUGGCACUGUCAGGUGUAUCUGGACACAGGAUUGUGGAUGGAACAGUGGCUGCCCCUCACAGUCGACCUUAUAUGGUGUUCUUGAUGGGACGCACAGCUAAUGAAACAUUCACAUGUGGAGGAUCCCUCAUUCGUGAGAAUGUUAUCAUGACUGCUGCCCACUGCAAUGCAAAAUCAAUCACUGCUUAUGUUGGUAUUCAUUCAGUGAGUAAAGCAGAAAGAGCAAAUCUUGGAAUACAUGUUGCAGAACAUUUUCCCCAUCCAGAUUUCAAUAAUAAAACCUUGGAAAAUGACAUAAUGCUGCUGAGGACUUGUCACAGUGAUGUCUUACAGGAAUCUGCCAGGACCAGUCAACUGUGCUCAGCCCAGUGACCAACAUUCUCACAGAGGCCUUUCUAUUUUUUUGUUCUCAUACACAAUUGAGUCGAAGAGUGACAUUAAAUGAAACUGUGAGUUUGAUCCCAUAUGCACACAGCAGCUCUCAUGUGUCAGUUGGAACUGCAUGCUCUGUGGCAGGCUGGGGUCAGAUUUCUAAUACGUCAAGAGGAAGUGAUGUGCUGAGAGAGGUGUCUGUGACGAUUAGAGAAAACACACAUUUGGAACUGAAUGCAAGAGGCAACAACAGAGAAGGAGUCUGCAGAGGUGACUCUGGUGGUCCACUGGUGUGCAGAAUUAAAAAGGUCAACACGGCUGUGGGAGUUGUGUCUUGGGGGAGUCCAAAUAAUUGUAACUAUCAAAUGCGCUUGAAUAUUUACACAAAGGUUUCUGCUUACUACAAGUGGAUCAUCGCCACUUUAAAGAUAAUCCCCCAGUAAAUCUCACACUGAUCUUUGGUUCAGUGGAUGGCUCUUCAAGCUGGGGACAGCUCCUCUGAUGAUUUCUUCCCCAAAAUAGCAUUUUCUUAACAUUUCAGCUUUGAGUGAAGCAACACUCCUGACUCAGGAAGGGGGCUGCCAUUGUAAACAGAUCCAUGAUACGACUUCUAACCACAAGGCAGUUUCACUUCCAUUCCAAUGCCUGCUUUGCACCUAAAGAAAUGCCUUGUGCUCAUGUCAGGUUAACUCAAUACUAUCUUUUUUAUCACGACUGUCAUGGCAUUUCUGCUGACACUCCCCUCACAUCUCUCUUUAUUAGUAGAAAUCUUUCCUGCACCAGUUUGCACCUUUGCCCCUACCCACAUACUUUUAAAUUUGGUUUCUAAAAUAUUCUUGGUCGACCGUCUGAUGCUGGUAUUCAUAUUCACAGUUGUUUUCUUCCCCCACUCCAUCAUCUCCUUGCUGCAUUAUGCUGUUGUGACAACAUGAAGGUCACUUAGAGUGGCAAAAGGUGCAUAAGGGAUCUUCAUACAGCACAACAAUAUAUAUAAACAUGAAUGUAGCAGCGAAUUUUGGAACAUAAAUUUCAAAACUUGUCAUAAGGCUGUUUUGCCAUAUCCUAUAGGCAAAUGGCUUCUCAUCACUUGCUGUGCCUCUGGUGCUGUGAUUUCAGAUUUCAGAUGUGAGUUUGAAUGGGAUUGUUCUCUACUGAAGCUUGUUUUACA